UACGUAGGGUGCGAGCGUUAAUCGGAAUUAUUGGGCGUAAAGGGCUCGUAGGCGGUCUGUUGCGUCGGGAGUGAAAACUCAGGGCUUAACCCUGAGCCUGCUUCCGAUACGGGCAGACUAGAGGUAUGCAGGGGAGAACGGAAUUCCUGGUGUAGCGGUGAAAUGCGCAGAUAUCAGGAGGAACACCGGUGGCGAAGGCGGUUCUCUGGGCAUUACCUGACGCUGAGGAGCGAAAGUGUGGGGAGCGAACAGG
rnacentral:rRNA from 1 species